UUUAGGAUCUGGUUUCAGGGCAUGUUCACUCUCGGCCUCCUUCACCACCGGUUUCCUCACCUCCACUGCCAACUCUUUGACUUUGCUCAAACAUCCUGUGUCUUUGUCACGAACCCAUUUCUGCUGCAGAGCCAGAGCUGGUACUGCUGAAUCUGGGGACGUUGGACCUGGACAGGAUCUGACUUGACUCCACCCUCUGUCUCCUGACUUGCUUCCUCAAAACCAGCAGGGAUACUGGAUCUCCUGGCAAACGAGGGUACCUGACACGGGGGUCAAGACACAACGGACGCUGGCAGAAGGCACUGGAGUAGUACUCAGCAUGUGACCCACCCCCCAGCCCCUCCACCGUCUCUUCCCCUCCUCCUGCCCCUGCACAGACUGACCCCUCGGGCCGUCAGGAGGGCAGUGCAGCGGAACGCUCAAGACGCUGUGGCUGUGACCUUAGGUCAGAGAAGUGCCACCAGACAUGUCACGCUUUAUCCCUGAUCGCUGGCCACGUGUGACUCUGGCAUCGAGGUGCGCCUCUUAGGAAGUGACAAUGAAUAGCAAUCAGCUCUGAGCCUCAGAAUAUAUAAUCAAAUUUGGCUGCAAAUACUGCGGUGUAAAAGGCCUGCGCUGAGACGGCCGAGGCACGACAAUGUGCUACUUCAGCCUCAUCUAUUUUAAUCUGAGGGACAUUUGUAAACAGGCAUGUGAAUGAAAACAUUGUACGGAUAUGGACACACACGGUCGAAGAGGAAGUCAACAAGCUGAAAAGGAUCAAAGUCCCAGGUCUGGCCGGGGGGCAAGUUAUGACACUUGAAGGGGUUCCUAUGGGCUCAACUAUUCUGUAGAAAAUACAGUUUCAUUAAUGGUUUAUUAACAGUGUUGGAAAUGAAUGAUUUGAUUAGGUCCUAGCACUGUUUGUCCUAUCCUCGAGCUUUCUUCUCAAUUUUAUUUUAUUUGUAAACUGUUGCUCAGGUUAUUAUUAUAUUUGAGCUACUCUGUGUCCAAAACAUUAGAGUAUAUUACAAUAUUUUAAUAAGUCUUGGUCUAACUCUGGGAAAAGUCAGGAAGUAGUUCAAGUCACAAGCUAACGUACUUAAGGAUAUUUGACUAAUUUAAGGGCGUUUCUCAGCCUACUUAUAGCAACCACAAUUUUGUAAUUGUUUAAACUAAUUUUAAGCUAUAAAUAGACCAAGUUUAACAGUUUAGUCCUCGCAACUGAGAGCUGAGUCAUAAAAUAGACAAACUUUGGAUGGAACGAAUUUAAGCACACGAGCAAUGCUUUUGUAAACGAAGACAACAAACCUGGUUAACUAGUAUCUCCAAACUGACGACCAUAAUAACAACAUUAACAUUCCUUCAAUCUGAUUCAUGUGUGUGUGGUUUCAUAAACAGAAACACUAAAAAACAAAUGGAGAUAAUAAUUACCUGAAGAAGAAGAUGUUUUGGCUUUGGCCCCCGCUUUCGGUAUCCCAUCUGCUGCUCUUGUCUCUCUCUAAAAAUAAAAAUAAAAUAAAAAAUGAAACUAA